rnacentral:tRNA from 1 species
CCCGGGAUAGCCAAGUGGCCUAAGGCAGCUGACUGUAAAUCAGCCAUUCGGUGGUUCGAAUCCUCCUCCCGGGA